rnacentral:rRNA from 1 species
UACGAAGGGGGCUAGCGUUGCUCGGAAUCACUGGGCGUAAAGCGCACGUAGGCGGCUCUUUAAGUCGGGGGUGAAAUCCUGGAGCUCAACUCCAGAACUGCCUUCGAUACUGAAGAGCUUGAGUCCGGGAGAGGUGAGUGGAACUGCGAGUGUAGAGGUGAAAUUCGUAGAUAUUCGCAAGAACACCAGUGGCGAAGGCGGCUUACUGGUCCGGUUCUGACGCUGAGGCGCGAAAGCGUGGGGAGCAAACAGG